GAUAAUGCUGUGAAGAAUCGGUUCACUACACUGUGCAAAAAGAGAGCAAAGCAUGAAGCUUUGGCUAAAGAAAACAGCAAUUCAUUCAUUAACCUGAAUAACAAGAGGGUUAUAUUUCCAGAUGGUAUCAAAGUUGACAACAUAGCUGAAGCUGCUGGUCCUAUUAAAAAGCUGAGGCGGAGCGACAUUUCAGAUGUCCUUCAAAUUGGUAACAGCAGAGAAAAAUCUGAUGGUGAUUGUGGAACUACUGCACAUCCAUUGCUGAGACAUCCAUUUGCGGUACUAGCUCAAAACCUGCAUAACACUGGGGAAAGUUUGGUAUCUCAUCAGACGACAACUGAAAAUGCUAGUGACAACAGAACUCAAGGAACAUUCCUUAAACAAGAUGAUCCAAAGAAACAGGCUUUGAUGCAACAAGCAGAGCUGCUAAGCUCACUAGCAAUGAAAGUUAAUACAGAAAAUACAGAUCAAAGCCUUGAAAGUGCUUGGAAGAUACUCCAAGAUUUUCUUCAACAAACAAAGGAUGGUGAUACACUCAAGUUCCAGCUACCUGAGAUGAAUUUUGAACCUGAUGAUUAUAAGAACCUGAUAGCAGAUUCAAGAAGCAGUAAUGAAGGCAGUCGACCAUCUUGGAGGCAACCUGCUUUAUCUGAAGAUUCUGCUGGCAGCUCUGAGUAUAGUACGGGAUCAACUUUGCUAUGCCAUGCACUGGCUGAUAAAACAGAAGAAAGCCAAGCUGAGGUGUGUGCACAGCAUCAGGAUAUUGAAUCUGAAUUACGAACUUCUCAGAUGAGUGAUCAAGGGGGGCUUCAUGAAUUAGAAAAUGGAACCUCCUGCCACAUAGCAACCACUCGAGAUACUUUGCCAGUUUGUGAUGAAGAAAAAGCAAAUAAUGGACCAGCUACAGCUGAAUGUGACUUUCUGAAUACAGAUUUCAGUUCUCCUCUUCAAGUUACUCCACUGUUCAGAUCUUUAGCUGCAGAAAUUCCCACUCCAAAGUUUUCAGAAAGUGAGAGGCAGUUCCUAUGGAAAACACUUGGAGUGGAGUCCACAUCCAUGCAUCCAGGCACAAAUCUUUCCCAACCUCCAUCGUGCAAAAGAGCCCUCCUCAACAGUCUAUAACCAACUUUACUGAUCAAUCCUUACAAAGAUUCUGCGGGGAGCAGUAUCACCAUAACUUUGAUCAACAGUUCUUCUUAUAUGUAGUUUACUCAAUUUUUGGAGUUCUUUUUGUUUGGAUUGCAGUCUCUAUGACCUAUGUUUUUUUCAAGAGGCCUUGGAAGAUCUGGUCUGCACCCUAGAAUGCAUCGGAGGCAUUCUAGCUUUUUCUCUGGAGAUCUGACAGAUGAUCUGCAUCCGUUUUUGGAGUUUCCAACCUAAUACUCACCAGUAUCUAGUGUGUUAUUUAAUUGUUUCUCAUUCUUUGGUGUGUUGUUGUGGAACUCAAAUGGGGGUAUUUGAUGUUCCAUGAGUUUUCGGCUUUUAAUUAGCCAGCUGUACAGAACAAACAUUGUACUUACAAAUUGGCACCUCGCCAAAGUUCAUAGAGUAUUUACAAGACAGAAAAAAAAGAGAGAAAAGAAAUCAUAGGGAGAGGUAGGAGGAUCAACAAGUCGAAUUGGCCUCCUAUCUAAGUUUCUUUUCAUAUAUUUUGUGUGUAGAUGUUAUAUAAUAAGUCUCUAGGCUGUUCAGAGCUUUUCUCUUUGCCUGAUCUACAUGUAAUGUAAAGCAUACUUUAUUUGAUUUGAGAAUGCUAUAUGGUUCGUGUGUG
rnacentral:misc_RNA from 1 species